rnacentral:rRNA from 1 species
GAUGAACGCUGGCGGCGUGCCUAACACAUGCAAGUCGAGCGGCAGCGAGGGGUGCUUGCACCCUGUCGGCGAGCGGCGGACGGCUGAGUAACGCGUGGGAACGUGCCCCAAAGUGAGGAAUAACUGCCCGAAAGGGUAGCUAAUACCGCAUAUUAUCUUCGGAUCAAAGGAUUUAUCCGCUUUGGGAGCGGCUCGCGUCGGAUUAGGUAGUUGGUGAGGUAAUGGCUCACCAAGCCGACGACCCGUAGCUGGUCUGAGAGGCUGACCAGCCAGACGGGAACUGCGACACAGUCCAGACUCCUACGGAGAGCUGCAGUGAGGAAUCUUCCACACUGGGCGAAAGCCUGAUGGAGCAACGCCGCGUGCAGGGCGAAGGCCUUCGGGUUGUAAACUGCUUUUAUAAGUGAGGAAUAUGACGGUAACUUAUAAAUAAGGAUCGGCUAACUACGUG